GGCGGGGCUUCCAGAGAGGCCUCCUUGAAGCUCAGGAAAGAAGCAAGUGGGCAGGCAGGCAGGCAGUGUCCAGCACCAGAGCUCUCUGCAGACCCUCUGCCCAGCCUUGCCUUAGUAAUGGAGGUGACAAAGAAGGAAGGUUUGGUUCGGAAUGAUGACGUCCUAUUAGUGUAGAAGGCCAGGGCUCUGUGGACAUCCAGGGAGUGCCAGUGUCUCUCAUCGGCAGUAGAAGGAUUAGGAAAGAAGACCUAUGAAAAGACGACACAACCUUUGGAAGGAAGGAGAUGUCCAGGAGAAGAGUGAUCUUGUCAGCAUGGAAUGCCAGGAUCCGAGGGAGCAGCAGGAUUGGAGGAAACAGAGAACAGAAUAGGAGCAAAAACUCAAUGAAUAGCCUGAGGAGUUACUCUCAUGGUGGACAAUGAAAAACCAGGCAAGAUUCUGUCAGGUGACCUUACAGGUGCUGCAUGGGGGCGGGGAGCGUGGAGCCUCUACCAAUCAGGAGAGAGAAUGAGGAAGCUUGCAAACUCCCGAUUUGGCCUUCACUCUCCAGCUGAAGCCCAUCUGUGUGAUGGACAGAGACCACCCAGAAGAACCAUUUUUAUCAAUGGAACAACUGUGCCAAUGAAUAAUUUUUUAGUUGAUAACCAAGCGUAAGAGCAGAUGUGCUUCUUUAAAAUCUAAUGAAAAACAUACAUGAUGCUAUCCUGAGUUCAAAAAAUGAAGUUUCUGGAUGACAUCUGGAGAAACCUCGGCUAUUUCUGUUUAAAAUGAUGACUAAUACCACAUUGAACUGUAUCUCAGCAAUCUAGAAAGGAUUUCCCCCCCUUCCCUUGAAAAAAAAGACACUGAGGUU